GUGUGUGGGUUAGUAGGUCUUCUGAAGCUUCCAUUUAUUUCCUAAAAUAACCUGGAGAUACAGAGACAGUGUCAGAUAAUAGAGGUUUUUUUUUUUCUAUUAAAAGAAGAGCACCGUAACACGCUUCUACACCAUUUUGUGAUAUGUGUGUCAGGCACGUACUGUACAGUGAACUGUUUCUGGUAUUAACCAGUGUAGGGUUCAAGCUGUGUUUGUUUUGUCAGACAGACACAGUCGUCCUGUUAACUUUUGGGUAACACCAGUGACUCAUCUGAUAAAAAAUAAUGGCUUAAACAAAGGACUUGGAGUAGUUUGCUUCUGGAAGAAUCCAACAGGAGAGCUUCCCGAUGCCAUCCCUUCUUCCUCAGAGCACCCACUAGGGCAGAAAGCCAGGCCUGGCACCCGAUGGACCCACAUGGGUUAGGGCAAGUGAAAGGUCAAGGGUAGCGUGGCAUCCUCCCCACAUGGAAGCUCCAUCACUGAGGCACUCUGGGGAGUCGGACUCUGAAAUGGAUUUGUAUUUGCUGCCAGUGGUAAAAAAACAGAAAAUAGAUGUCAGAGGUAAAGUCUCAGUGGGCAUGUUGCUGGGGGUUGUGUGGAGACAUCCUGCUCUGGGAUCAGGGACCACCUGCUCACUGGGAUUUACCUGAUCUGUUAGAAAAAUUUCUAAUUGUAUAGAAUCUAAAGGCUCUACCAAGAGAUUUUAACUCUCCCCUCCUACUGAAAAAUGGAAACCUGUAGGUCCCCUUGGCAUCGCAAGGGAGUGACACAAAGAGACCUUCUUCUUUUUUCAGCACCUUAAAGUGUGUUGCAGUAUUGCCUGUGACCAGGCCAGUCCAUCCUGCUGCCCACACCCUGUUGAUGGGAUUUAUGUUCUUCUGUCGAUGCUGAGAGCAUCUUUUGGAGUUCACCCCAGUUCCCCGAUGAAGAGAUUUUCUCCACAGGGCUGAGCAGAAAUUGACUGAGGGUGAGUCGGGGUCCAAGGGAUGCUUGUGUGGUCUGUGGCAGCCCUGGCUGAGCUGCUCAGCCAAGAGGUGCUCUGCUAGGAGCAGUGGGGGGAGAGGGAGUGCUGCCCACUGCCUGAACUGUCUUCCAAGGGUCAAACUGUUCAACUUCAGCCCCUUUGCCAGACUCAAUCCUACUUUACGGGAACAAAGGCACAAAAUAGGCAACGAUCAAGAAAUGGGAGCACAAUGAUUUAAGCUUAUCACACAGCCCAGAAAUAAAGGACUCUGAGCUUGUGUGCGGGAGGCAGUGGGGGGAAACCUUCAGAGAGGCUUUGUUUGCUGUAAGAAGAUUGAACCCUGAGGUGACCCAACAGCCCUAAAAGUUUAGGGUCUGUGUUGCUGAGAGACCUUUGGAUACAGUCUGUCCACACUCCGACCUCACAAGUCGUGAGCCAACAUUAAUGGCUUGCCUGGCCUCACCCCUCCCAACUCUGUGUCCUGAGGCCCCCCCGGGAGUCUUCUGAGGGUUUGGGUGACCAGGGCACCCCCAAUCCUUGUGGAUAGCACCCACAACCCGAUGUGGGGAAAAGAACAGCCGAUUGUGUGAAAACCCCAGUGCCUGCAAAAAGGGACACUGGCUGUCCAGGCGAAGGUGCGCAAGGGAGAGCACUAAUCGCUGAACCAGGAGACAAAUACGAUUACCAGCUCUGAGCCUUGAGUCAGAAAGUCUCAUAGACUUUAAGAUGUUAAUCCCCAACAUAAUCCUUCCUUUGGCGUGUAGGAAUAGUGCAGCCACAAGAGUUGUUUUGUUAUUUAUAUUGGCGUUUAAUAAAACUCAGCCAGCAGUGAAUGGGCUGCCCACUCUCCAAUGGUAAUUAAUUCCCUAUUUCAGUGACCCAAUUGUGCUGGGAUAGAGCAGUGGGACAGUCCCACUGCCCCAACCCGCCUUUGUGCAGCUACACAGCUCUCGUGCUUCAACAGCUAUGGAAACUCAUUCUUUUGAUGUCAUUCAAUGAGUUUUCCUUGGGCAUCUUCUGAACUUCAAGGACCCUUUUCUUUCUUGGAUGCCUGAAAAGCAGGACUAGCUUGACCACCUCUGUAGUAUUUAAUGAUUUGAUGAAAGGGCUUUUUUUUCUUAUUAUUUUUUGGGGGCUGGGGAGGAAGGGGGUUGUGUGAGGAAGGAGAGAAAGAAAAUUUGUCAGGCUGCUAGCAAGCAGGGUCUGUCUAAAAUGGAGUGCACCAAACUCAUUCAGCUCCUCCUUUAUAUGGAUCUUAAAAGCUGCUCUUCCUUACUCAAAAUACUUGAGGGAUUCUCUUAGUCAAGGCAUUUCUAGGAGGGAUUUGCUGGGAGGUGGAUUCUCUUGUUUCAUAGACAAACGCAAACUGGGGGCGCAGAUGAGUCUAAACGAAACAAAUCACAUUUUAAGAAGGUGUUUCCAUCCAUCAAAUGGAAAAAUAACCAAAGGGAGAGUAAGAUCCCUGGGACUGGGGUUGUUAUUGUGGCUGAGGGUUCAAUUUUGUGGCUCUUAGGCAGAGCAGUGAAGUGGCUGCA